UACGGAGGGAGCUAGCGUUGUUCGGAAUUACUGGGCGUAAAGCGCACGUAGGCGGCCAUUCAAGUCGGGGGUGAAAGCCCGGGGCUCAACCCCGGAACUGCCUUCGAAACUAGAUGGCUAGAAUCUUGGAGAGGCGAGUGGAAUUCCGAGUGUAGAGGUGAAAUUCGUAGAUAUUCGGAAGAACACCAGUGGCGAAGGCGACUCGCUGGACAAGUAUUGACGCUGAGGUGCGAAAGCGUGGGAGCAAACAGG
rnacentral:misc_RNA from 1 species